rnacentral:rRNA from 1 species
CCUGACUGCUAUCGGAUUGAUACUAAGCCAUGCGAGUCAUUGUAGCAAUACAAGGCAUACGGCUCAGUAACGCGUAGUCAACCUAACCUAUGGACGGGAAUAACCUCGGGAAACUGAGAAUAAUGCCCGAUAGAACACUAUACCUGGAAUGGUUUGUGUUCCAAAUGAUUUAUCGCCGUAGGAUGGGACUGCGGCCUAUCAGUUUGUUGGUGAGGCAAUGGCCCACCAAGACUAUUACAGGUACGGGCUCUGAGAGGAGUAGCCCGGAGAUGGGUACUGAGACACGGACCCAGGCCCUAUGGGGCGCAGCAGGCGAGAAAACUUUGCAAUGUGCGAAGGCACGACAAGGUUAAUCCGAGUGAUUUGUGCUAAACGAAUCUUUUGUUAGUUCUAGAAAUACUAACGAAUAAGGGGUGGGCAAGUUCUGGUGUCAGCCGCCGCGGUAAAACCAGCACCUCAAGUGGUCAGGAUGAUUAUUGGGCCUAAAGCAUCCGUAGCCGGCUCUGUAAGUUUUCGGUUAAAUCUGUACGCUUAACGUACAGGCUGCCGGGAAUACCGCAGAGCUAGGGAGUGGGAGAGGUAGACGGUACUCGGUAGGAAGGGGUAAAAUCCUUUGAUCUAUUGAUGACCACCUGUGGCGAAGGCGGUCUACCAGAACACGUCAGACGGUGAGGGAUGAAAGCUGGGGGAGCAAACCGGAUUAGAUACCCGGGUAGUCCCAGCUGUAAACUAUGCAAACUCAGUGAUGCAUUGGCUUGUGGUCAAUGCAGUGCUGCAGGGAAGCCGUUAAGUUUGCCGCCUGGGUAGUACGUACGCAAGUAUGAAACUUAA